GGAUAUUGGACCAUGGGGGGCACCCUGCUCCAGCCAUGCCGCGUGUGUGAAGAAGGCCUUCUGGUUGUAAAGCACUUUAAGCGAGGAGGAGGCUACUCUAGUUAAUACCUAGGGAUAGUGGACGUUACUCGCAGAAUAAGCACCGGCUAACUCUGUGCCAGCAGCCCCGGGAAUACAGAGGGUGCAAGCGUUAAUCGGAUUUACUGGGCGUAAAGCGCGCGUAGGUGGCCAAUUAAGUCAAAUGUGAAAUCCCCGAGCUUAACUUGGGAAUUGCAUUCGAUACUGGUUGGCUAGAGUAUGGGAGAGGAUGGUAGAAUUCCAGGUGUAGCGGUGAAAUGCGUAGAGAUCUGGAGGAAUACCGAUGGCGAAGGCAGCCAUCUGGCCUAAUACUGACACUGAGGUGCGAAAGCAUGGGGAGCAAACA
rnacentral:rRNA from 1 species